rnacentral:rRNA from 1 species
GACGAACGCUGGCGGCGUGCUUAACACAUGCAAGUCGAACGGAAAGGCCCUGCUUUCGUGGGGUGCUCGAGUGGCGAACGGGUGUGUAACACGUGAGUAACCUGCCCUUGACUGUGGGAUAACUUCAGGAAACUGCGGCUAAUACCGGAUACGAGCUCCUGCUGCAUGGUGGGGGUUGGACAGUUUCGGCGGUGGGGGAUGGACUCGCGGUUAAUCAGUUUGUUGGUGGGGUAGUGGCUUACCAAGGCUUCGACGGGUAGGCGGCCUGAGAGGGUGACCGGCGACAUUGGGACUGAGAUACGGCCCAGACUCCAACGGGAGGCAGCAGUGGGGAAUCUUGCACAAUGGGCGGAAGCCUGAUGCAGCAACGCCGCGUGCGGGAUGACGGCCUUCGGGUUGUAAACCGCUUUCGCCUGAGACGAAGCGUGAGUGACGGUAAUGGGUGAAGAAGCACCGGCUAACUACGUG